AUUUUCAAUUCCAUUAUAAUCUUAUACAAUCACUGUCAUAUAUGCUGUUUGUUAACUGAAUGUCAUAUGCAGCACAUGACUGUAUUUUGUUUUGUAGGUCUCAGACUUCUGUAUUUAAUUAUGACUAUUUGUUAGGAUUUUGACAGAGUGAAAAUAAAUAAAGUGUUCAAUCUGCCAAGUUUAAUUGGAAGUUUCAUUGAUCCUUCCAAGCUCAAACAUUCUGCAGAAUAUCUGGCUCCUCUAUACAUACCCUAAGAUCCUGGGGCUUAGCACUGGCCUGGAGGCUUCUGACAGAUGUAAACUAAUCACAAAAUGGGUAGGAAGGAUAGUAGAGCUGAAAGAUCAAAGUCAGAAUCCCAACCUCACCACAGCUCAGAUUCCCCUGGAAACCCAUGUUGUCAUAACUCUGAAGGAGAGAUGAUGACACAAUACAGGUGAACUGUUCUGACAUCAUCCUAUCCAGGCCGGAGGUGGGUCCCAAUGUUCUGCCCCUCUGGGGCCCAGAGGCACCUCUCAGUGGAGCCCAAGUCACCAUCUGGCCUCAUUUUGUCAUGAUAUACCAAUGGGAAUUAAUUCCAUGGGUUUCUUAUCACACACUGACUGCUAAAAGCUGAAGCCCAGAGUGACCAGAAUGUGGGCUGGGAAGCUUGAGAAAAGAUUCCAUGCGACCACAGCUCCUGGAGUCGUUGUUACUCAGGGCUCUGACCCUGUUGGAGCCGGGAGGGUGCUGUGUGGGAUUCUGCCCUCAGCAGCUGGCUGAGAGUGCUGCCACCUCACUGUACUCAAGGUGACAAUCUGGCCAGGAGAGGCUGACCUGGGGUGUGCCCCCACCAUGCAGGAGCCUGUUGGAGGUGAUGUCAGCACUUCUGGAUAAAGAUUGAGUGCCGGUCUGAAAGGCCACCCCUCUCAGCAAGAAAACCAUCUCAAAGUAUCAACAGCCAGCACCCUGUCCCCAGGCGUUAGAUGGUGUCAACAUCCUGGAGUUAGAUGGUGCUGCCUGUGUCAGGAAGAAAGGAACUCCUGGAGGCCCAGAGCCCAGAGCAGCAGGCAUGGAGCUUCACAGGGAGCAAGGGAGGCCAUGAGGACUGCUCCUUCCCUCUCCCACAACCCUCACCCAGGCAGGUGUGGUGAGUCUCAAGGCCGCUCAGCUGCGCGUCCUCCAGGAAGAGGCUCUGCUGAAUCUUCAUGUGUGUAUGACGGCAUCCCUUGUUUUCUAUCAAGAUAUGUUCUCUAUUUAUCAAUAAAAUCAAUGACACAAAUCCCA